UGUCGUCAGAACCCUCUACCCAGUGACGUGGUCAGAACCCUCUACCCAGUGAUGUCAUCAGAACCCUCUACCCAGUGAUGUCGACAGAACCCUCUACCCAGUGAUGUCAUCAGAACCCUCUACCCAGUGAUGUCAUCAGUACCCUCUACCCAGUGAUGUCGUCAGAACCCUCUACCCAGUGAUGUCAUCAGAACCGUCUACCCAGUGAUGUCAUCAGAGCCCUGUAACCAGUGAGCUCAAGGUCAAACCAAGGUCACAGGUGGAAAGGGGCAGUGAAAAAAGGAAGGAUGUGAGAUGAGAUUUCAUUCUCUUGUUCCCUGGCUAUAACAAAGACCCAGAAAGCACCUAUAGAGAGAGAGAAAGAGAGAGAGAGACAGAAGGAGGAGAGAGAGAAAGAAGAAGAGAGAGAGAAAGAGGGAGAAGAGAGAGAGACGUAAACAAUAGAAGGAAAGAGAAAGAGAGAGAGAGAGAAGGACGAGAAGACACACAUGCACUUAAUGGCACCAGAACCCGAGAGGUGUCUUUGAGAUUGCCUGAAGGACCCUUCCUCCACUAUGAGUGUCCCAGCUGGUCUCCAGAGUCUGUCUGUCAGCGGACGAGACAUAAAAAACUACAACAACAAAUCUCAUGUCCUGUUUCACCCUCCGACUGGAGAUGCUAACGCUAACCAGCUAGUGCUAAUUGGGGAGACCCCAGACGACCAGACCUCCAGCCCUCUACCCCCCCUGGUGGCCCAGAGCGAAGCCCAGGACAAGCUUCUUAUCUGGGGCAGGGAGGAGCGAUGUCUGGACCAUGACAUCCAGGAGUUGGAACUGCUAGAGUGUCGCGAGGUACACACCUUCCAUGGAGAUGGAGGUGAAGGGGGGGAUGGAAAGAGAUUAGGAGAAAUGGAGGAGGAUGAUGAAGGAGAGGAUUCUAAAAGAGGAGCAGACGAAGGACUGUUGUCGAUCUCUUCCAGCUCCACGGCCAGCUGUGUUUCUGUUCACGGGAACGAUAACGAUAGCAAUGGGAGGGACAGAGGGAUGGAUAGACAAAAAGAGGUAGCGGGAGAGAGAGAGGUGCUCCGUCAGGACCUCAACUACAGCGUCCCUCGAUCAGGUAAAGAGACGGGAGGAGGAGGAGGAGGAGGAGAGCAGAACAGCGGGGGUGACAGAGGGAGUCUCUGUGUGUCUGCCGUUUCCACCCUGAGUAGCAGUCUGGACCCUACUGGACAUCCAUUGACCUCUAACCCCAAUCCCACUACCUCAGCCAAGAGAAGGGCUCCCCCUGUUGGCCUGAACUCCACAGCAGCACCACACUCUCAGGACACUCCUAACCUGGGAGAACUACAGUACCCGAGGUCACCUGACCAAGAAGUACAUCAUCAGCACCAGGAAACAUCUAACCUGGAAGUAGAACUGCCGAGGGGUCAAAGUGCGACAGAGGAGGGGUCUAAACUGGCUGUUACCACUCAAAGACAGGACGUGAGGUGUUACCAGGGAAACAGCAUUUUGUCCUCUUCAGAUGGAGGGAUAGGACAGAGGAAGAAGGGACUAGGAGCUCCUCCUCCUCGCAGACAACAGCUCGUCCGACCUCUCUGUCAGUUGGAACCAGGAAGAGGGAGGAGCUUAGCUGAGCCAAUCACAAGACGGCGCUCCUCAACCUCUCCCUCCCUGUCUCCAGAUGCGGGUCGUAAGGUCGUGGACCCAGGUCAACACGGGGUCGACGGCAGGCAAACACAAGAGACCCUAGAGGUCAAGAGUUCAAUGGUCAACUGUAGCAGUUACUCCCACCUUCACUCCCACCCCCAUUACCAGCCCAGCUCCAGUCCCGGAGCUCCCCAGCCCAGCCAGGCCAGCCAGUCUGCCCAGAGAGAGGCUCGUUCCCUGGAUAGAUGUCGGAGUAGCGCAGAACGUACCUCCAGCCUGGAGAGGAGACAUCAGCACCAGGACCAGUCUCAGCUCAGAUACCGUAGAACUAACCGCUGUGGGGCUACUGUCACCUCUCAACCACGCUCACACACACCCCCUCGCUCCCCACUCGGAACCCCACAGGGGUCACCACGGAGACAAGAUCAACAACAACAGCCGAUGUCCCCUUCGAGGAUCAUUACAGGUUCAGCUCGGUAUCCCCAGGGCUAUGGUAGCAGUGGGCUUAGACCACCUCUCAAAUCUAACCUCGCUUCUACAGGGAUACCCAUACCUCCUCUACACCACCAGGCCCCUAACCCCAGCCCCAGCCCCCCCAAACCCAAAGGAGUGCGGCCCAAAAUCAUCACCUAUAUCCGGAAGGGUCCUCAACUCAAACCCCAGGCUUCAGACGGGCCUUACCAGGUCUCCUCCUUGCCCUCCAGGCUCUCUGCCUAUACACAUACACACUCCCCUGCCACAAACAUGCCUCAGAAGCACUCCUCUAGCCCCAAAACGCACACCAACACACACUCCCGCGGCAUAGUGUCCAGAAACACAGCCGUCCUGAGUGCCUCCAACCUCCUCUACGACAAAUACAGGCAAGAGAUGCAGAAAAACCGUCUGUUCAACUCUGGUAUGAUGGGAACAGGGAUCCGUGGCUACACACACACUGUCCCCCCGACACACACACAGUCUGGCUCUCACACACACACCCACACACACACUGGAGCCCACACUCACAGCCACACAGCCCCUCCGAAGCUGGGCAGCAAGGCUGAGAGCUUCUAUGGACCACUGGUGGACAAGUACCAACCAGCAGAGAUGAGUCGAAAUGUGGGCAGCCUUGGUCGCGAGGACCCCUCAGGCCCCAGGAUGGCAACCCAGGCGGCUCAAGCUGGCGGCACUGGCAGCCUGCUCCGCUCUGGCAUAGGGCUGCGCCCGCAACUGGGUCUGGGAGCUGUUGCACGGGCAACCCCGGGGUCUGUCGUUUUCACUGCAACCAAGAACCAGAUGAUGGUUCAGGGUCAGAGGACAGCAUUGGGAUUCAGUCAACCAGUGCAGGCCGUCAGCCCAGCGACCAAUCAGAAUGGACAGGACAACACAGGGGACCAGCAAAGACCGUCACCCACCCCAGCUCCGUCCCAGACCCCCAGGACUCUGCUCCCCAGCCAGUCAGCGCUGCGUGCUCCUGGGUUCAGCUCUGUGUGUCUCCCCCC
ensembl:lncRNA